GGGGAAGGUUCCCCCCCCCCUUUUAGAUACUCAGAAGAAACCAAUCACCAUUUUGGUUAAAGAACAGGCAGGCUGGCUGCUGUCCCCCUGAAACUUGGUUUGCCAACUCACGUCUGAUUGACAUUCCACUCUACUCAGUACAACAAAACUGGCAGAGUCAUAAAAGAAUUCUCCAUGGUGUGAUAGGGGGCUGAGAGAAAAGAGAAAAGAAAAGACUUCCACUUGGUGGCAGUGGUCAAAGUCAUAAGAGGCGAGGAGCAAGAAGAAGGAAAUAGGAUUGGUUCCAGAGCACUGGUGGCAUGUGACAACAUACUGGGUGACCACAUCCACAAUUCCUUCAAGGAUUAUUCUGUACUUUUGGUAGAGCUGCUUUGCAUGGAGACUUGCUUACUUAGCUAUGCUUGGUUCUAGUCCGUAUGUCUGAAACUGGUUAUUUAAUUGAACAAUGCAGGGGGAAUUGAUGUUAUAAACAUGCAUCAUUGUUAUUCCAUAAUAUGAUACCUACCUGUCAUUGUAUUUUGAAGGGGGAAAUCCUAAUAAAAUUUUAUUUUUUAAAAAAACCACAAACACCCCCCCCACACACACACAAGCAUUGCUUGUGCUUGGGCUCCUUUCAGUGCCUUCGCCCAGUGAAUGUCAACAACUUGGGGUAGUAUUAGGUUGAAUGUUUCUAGGAGCCUCUCCAUUUAACUUUUAACUUGCAAGUUGUAACACAAUUUUGUCUCUCAGAAUGAGGUCCACUGCAGCUCCAAAUUCAGUCUCCCCCCCCACCCGAAUUCUGUUGCCAAGUUAACUAUCAGAUAAUAAGGUAUUCCAGUGACCUCACCAAAUGUAUGCUUAAAACAAAACAAAACCCUAGUUCCUCUGAAAAACUAGGUUCUUUCUAUGUUUAAAUUAAUAUUUACUGGGCUUUUGAUUCAUUUUAUUUGCAGGGUUUUCCUAGAUAUUUUGACUAUUAUAAAAAAAUUUCGGGCCCUGUUUCCAAUGCAAUGAAGCAUAAUAACUAUUUUAAAUUCUUAAAGCUUACAAUUGGCUCCAGUGAUUCUCAGAUAAUUCAGAAGCUUCUGCUCCCACCUCAAGUUUUCACCAAAGUUGCCUGUUAAGCAUACUGUGACUAAACUGUGAGUUCAGUGGGCAUGUAGGUCAGCUCUCAGAAAGUCUGUAAUUAGGGCUAGAAAUCAGCCAGAUGCCACAAAGCUUAAUGAAACAACAGUAGACCAAAUGAUAUCACACCACAGUUUGAACAUGCCCAACCAGGUAGGUGAGAGAAGGUGAGAUUCAGAUGGGAAGUGCUUUUUCAAAAUCUUUUUAAAGAUACACACUCAUAUAUCACAGGAAGGAGCAAAUCAUGUUUUCAGUUCCAGCUUCUGCAACCCAAUUUGAGACUCCAGGCCCUAUAAUCAGUGACUCAUGCCAUUGCUCUCCUUUAUUAAUGGCAGGGCAGAAUAGAAAUAGCAUCAGCAGAACAAUUGCAAAUGUACACCAAUAUGGCUAACAUGUGAAACUCUAUCAAAUGUAUAAUUUAUGUCAUAAACAUGCAUGUGCUGCAAUCAGUUCAAACAACAUCACUUGGUUUUGCACAAUUUUGGAAGGGCCUUUUAGCCUUUUGGAAGGGCGGUAUAAAAGUUUUAAUAAAUAAAUAAAUAAAUAAAA